AUUGAACGCUGGCGGCAGGCCUAACACAUGCAAGUCGAACGAGUGGCGGACGGGUGAGUAAUGUCUGGGAAACUGCCCGAUGGAGGGGGAUAACUACUGGAAACGGUAGCUAAUACCGCAUACCAUCGGAUGUGCCCAGAUGGGAUUAGCUAGUAGGUGGGGUAAUGGCUCACCUAGGCGACGAUCCCUAGCUGGUCUGAGAGGAUGACCAGCAACACUGGAACUGAGGAACGGGCCAGAUUCCUACGGUGGGAAGCAGUGGGGAAUAUUGCACAAUGGGCGCAAGCCUGAUGCAGCCAUGCCGCGUGUGUGAAGAAGGCCUUCGGGUUGUAAAGCACUUUCAGCGGGGAGGCGUUACCCGCAGAAGAAGCACCGGCUAACUCCGUGCCAGCAGACGCGGUAAUUC
rnacentral:rRNA from 1 species